AAGAAUUCAAAUAAUAUAUAUUUGUUUUGAAACUAUUAACAUCUACAAUCAUAACUUUAACGACCGUUCCUAGAGCAAGUGAUAAAGGGUUUGGUGGUUGAUACCCGAGAUUCCAAGUUCGAAUUUUAGUUGAUUCACAUUUUUAGCUAAGUUUAUUUCUAAAUGAAAUGAAAUAAAUGACGCGGGUAGCGUGCUAUCUAUCUCUCAAAAAAAAAAAAAAUAAAUAAAUAAAACGUCCCAGGUGUUAACUCCACCGUUUUUGUUUCAUCUUUCUGAUAAAAAAAGAAAAAAAAAAAUUUAAAUAUGAUUCCUGUGGUUUCACAUUUUUUUACUUUAAUGCUCUAUAGUUUAAAGUGUAUCAAUUUAGUGUCCUGUGAUUUUAUUUUUAUCAUUUUAUUAUUAAUUUUACUAAUUUUUUUCGUUAAAUUAGUGAUAAAGUUAAAAUUAAAGAAUAUUAAAGUAAAUAUUCGAUAAACCUAGAUAGAUAUUGAAAAUUUUUUAUAUAUAAUUUAAUAAAAUAUUAACGAAAAAGCUGACGAACAGAUAAAAACGAAACCAAAAGACACUAAUUUAAUACCGUUUAAAUCACAUGACAGUAAAGUGAGAAAGUAGAAACAACAAUAGUAAUAUUUAAAGUUUAUCCAAAAAAAAUUAAAAAU
rnacentral:lncRNA from 1 species